UACGUAGGGCGCAAGCGUUUGUCCGGAAUUAUUGGGCGUAAAGAGCUCGUAGGCGGCUUGUUGCGUCGGAUGUGAAAGCCCGGGGCUUAACCCCGGGUCUGCAUUCGAUACGGGCAGGCUAGAGUGUGGUAGGGGAGAUCGGAAUUCCUGGUGUAGCGGUGAAAUGCGUAGAUAUCGGGAGGAACACCAGUGGCGAAGGCGACUUCCUGGCCUGUUCUUGACGCUGAGGCGCGAAAGCUAGGGUAGCAAACGGG
rnacentral:rRNA from 1 species